UUGAACGCUGGCGGCAGGCAUAAUACAUGCAAGUUGAACGGCAGCACAGGUAGCAAUACCGGGUGGCGAGUGGCGCACGGGUGCGUAACACGUAUGCAACCUACCCUAUACAGGCGAAUAACCUUUAGAAAUGAGGGCUAAUACGCCGUGGUAUUAUCUUGGGGCAUCUUGAGAUAAUUAAAGAUUUAUCGGUAUAGGAUGGGCAUGCGUCCCAUUAGUUAGUUGGUAGGGUAACGGCCUACCAAGGCGAUGAUGGGUAGGGG
rnacentral:rRNA from 1 species